rnacentral:rRNA from 1 species
GUAGGGGUGCAAGCGUUAAUCGGAAUUACUGGGCGUAAAGCGUGCGCAGGCGGUUUGUAAGGUCUGUCGUGAAAGCCCCGGGGGCUCAACCUGGGAAUUGCGAUGGAGACUGCAAGGCUUGAAUCUGGCAGAGGGGGGUAGAAUUCCACGUGUAGCAGUGAAAUGCGUAGAGAUGUGGAGGAACACCGAUGGCGAAGGCAGCCCCCUGGGUCAAGAUUGACGCUCAUGCACGAAAGCGUGGGGAGCAAACAGGAUUAGAUACCCUGGUAGUCCACGCCCUAAACGAUGUCUACUAGUUGUCGGGUUUUAAUUAACUUGGUAACGCAGCUAACGCGUGAAGUAGACCGCCUGGGGAGUACGGUCGCAAAGAUUAA